rnacentral:rRNA from 1 species
CGCGAAGAACCUUACCUGGUCUUGACAUCCCGGAGACCCUUAGGAAACUAGGGGGUGCUUCCAUCUGGAAGAAUCUGGAGACAGGUGCUGCAUGGCUGUCGUCAGCUCGUGUCGUGAGAUGUUGGGUUAAGUCCCGCAACGAGCGCAACCCUUGCCUUUAGUUGCCAGCAGUUCGGCUGGGCACUCUAAAGGGACUGCCGGUGUUAAACCGGAGGAAGGUGGGGAUGACGUCAAGUCCUCAUGGCCUUUAUGACCAGGGCUACACACGUACUACAAUGGCCGAUACAAAGGGCAGCGACACUGCGAGGUGAAGCCAAUCCCGUAAAAUCGGUCUCAGUCCGGAUUGGAGUCUGCAACUCGACUCCAUGAAGUUGGAAUCGCUAGUAAUCGUGGAUCAGCAUGCCACGGUGAAUACGUUCCCGGGCCUU